GCCGCCGUAGCUCAGCCCGGGAGAGCACCCGGCUGAAGACCGGGGUGUCCGGGGUUCAAAUCCCCGCGGCGGCACCA
rnacentral:tRNA from 1 species